rnacentral:rRNA from 1 species
GAUGAACGCUAGCGGCAGGCCUAAUACAUGCAAGUCGAACGGUGUAGCAAUACACAGUGGCGCACGGGUGCGUAACACGUAUGCAACCUACCUAUCAUUGGGGGAUAGCCUUUGGAAACGGAGAUUAAUACCGCAUAAGACAGUAACAUGGCAUCAUGUAGCUGUUAAAGUUUCGGCGAUGAUAGAUGGGCAUGCGUCCAAUUAGUUAGUUGGUAAGGUAACGGCUCACCAAGACGAUGAUUGGUAGGGGAUCUGAAAGGAUAAUCCCCCACACUGGCACUGAGAUACGGGCCAGACUCCUACGGGAGGCAGCAGUAGGGAAUAUUGGGCAAUGGACGGAAGUCUGACCCAGCCAUGCCGCGUGCAGGAUGAAGGCGUUAUGCGUUGUAAACUGCUUUUUUAUAGGAAGAAGGAGACCUUGCGAGGUUUGGUGACGGUACUAUAAGAAUAAGCACCGGCUAACUCCGUGCCAGCCGCCGCCGUAACAC